rnacentral:rRNA from 1 species
GACAGAGGAUGCAAGCGUUAUCCGGAAUGAUUGGGCGUAAAGCGUCUGUAGGUGGCUUUUCAAGUCCGCCGUCAAAUCCCAGGGCUCAACCCUGGACAGGCGGUGGAAACUACCAAGCUGGAGUACGGUAGGGGCAGAGGGAAUUCCGGUGGAGCGGUGAAAUGCAUUGAGAUCGGAAAGAACACCAACGGCGAAAGCACUCAGCUGGGCCCGACACCUGACACUGAGAGACG